rnacentral:rRNA from 1 species
UGGCGGACGGGUGAGUAACACGUUGGAAUCUGCCCCUUGGUCAGGGAUAGCCAUCUGAAAAGAUGAUUAAUACCGGAUAGUCUCGAAAGAGUAAAGAUUUAUUGCCAAGGGAGGAGCCUGCGGUCUAUCAGCUAGUUGGUGAGGUAAAGGCUUACCAAGGCUAUGACGGAUAGCUGGUCUGAGAGGAUGAUCAGCCACAAUGGAACUGAGACACGGUCCAGACUCCUACGGGAGGCAGCAGGGGGGAAUAUUGCACAAUGGGGGAAACCCUGAUGCAGCCAUGCCGCGUGUGUGAAGAAGGCCUUCGGGUUGUAAAGCACUUUCAGUAGGGAGGAAGGGUUGAUGUCUAAUUCGCAUCAGCAUUGACGUUACCUACAGAAGAAGCACCGGCUAACUCCGUGCCAGCAGCCGCGGUAAU